CGGGACUCACCCCGUUCGCUUCCGGACAUUCCUCCUUCAUGCGAAGCUACGGGUUGAGCGCCCUUAAAACUAAGUUGGAUAAAACAAAAAAGUAAAGUACGACCACUACCAGCAGCCUUACAGUGUGCUUCAUAAAUAAGUCAACCCCUGAGAUAACAAUAUCAUUGGAAAUUGUGGUUUUGUUCUCCACUUUUAUUAUCCAUAUGCAAUUUUCGUGCUACUUUAUUACCUUCAUGGUGUGAUAUUUUAUCAUCCUGGAAGAAGGAUUCUGGAAAUUGAUGAUUUCUAAUAUACAGCUGGUUUUCAGAUAACAAGUUUAAUGUAUUUACAUAUCAGAAUGAGCUCCCAAUUUGAAGUUGUGAGUGUCUUAUCUGAUUAUAGAUUUCUACUUUGAAAACCAAACUAUUUCCUUCUACAAAUGGAUUUUGAAGUAUCAUGCAUGUGGUAUUAUGUACUCUAUGAUAUCUUUGCGAAGCCUUUAAUUGAUGUUAUACCAAAAAAAUUCCCAUGGAAGGAAGUUCUUGCAGGAUCUGUUAUCAACCGUCUAUGUUAUGCAGUAAUUGUAUCUGCAGUUUAGUUAAAACUCUAACUUAGAAAUAUACUCAGCGUAAAAUUGAUAUGAUGAAAAAUGAUAUUUGAUUGGAAGAAGUUCCUGGCUGAGACAAAGAGUU